rnacentral:lncRNA from 1 species
CCGGUCCGGGCAGCCUCCGGUUUAGAGGAAAAGAGAACGGAGGGCAGGGCUCGCCCAGGGAGGGCAAGGAAGGGAGCCCGGCUCCGCUGGCUCAGUCCGCGGCACCCCUGUCCCCCAGGACAGCCCCCAGGGGCCCUGGCUCGGGUGGGCCGGCGGCUGUCAGGGGCCAGAGCCCUGAUGGAUAAGCGCUGACGGCCCCUCUCCCGCGCCCCGCGCCGCUGACACCCAUC